GACGAACGCUGGCGGCGUGCUUAACACAUGCAAGUCGAACGGAAAGGCCCUGCUUUUGUGGGGUUCUCGAGUGGCGAACGGGUGAGUAACACGUGAGUAACCUGCCCUUGACUUUGGGAUAACUUCAGGAAACUUGGGCUAAUACCGGAUAGGAGCUCCUGCUGCAUGGUGGGGGUUGGAAAGUUUCGGCGGUUGGGGUUGGACUCGCGGCUUAUCAGCUUGUUGGUGGGGUAGUGGCUUACCAAGGCUUUGACGGGUAGCCGGCCUGAGAGGGUGACCGGCGACAAUGGGACUGAGAUACGGCCCAGACUGGAACGGGAGGCAGCAGGGGGGAAUAGUGCAAAAUGGGCGGAAGCGUGAUGCAGAAAAGCGGCGGGCGGGAUGACGGCCUUGGGGUUGUAAACAGAUUAAGCAUGUGACGAAGCGUGAGUGACGGUAAUGGGUAAAGAAGCACCGGCUAACUACGUG
rnacentral:rRNA from 1 species